GCGAGACUCUGUGGGGGUAGGACCCUCUGAGCCACGUGCCGGAUAUAAUCUCGUGGUGCGCCGUUUUUUUAAGCCGUUCGGAAAAGCACAGUAUUCGGGUGGGAGUGACCCGAUUUUCCAGGUGCGUCUGUCACCCCUUUCUUUCACUCAGAAAGGGAACUCCCUGACCCCUUGCGCUUCCCAAGUGAGGCAAUGCCUCGCCCUGCUUCGGCUCGCGCACGGUGCGCGCACCCACUGACCUUCGCCCACUGUCUGCCACUCCCAAGUGAGAUGAACCCGGUACCUCAGAUGGAAAUGCAGAAAUCACCUGUCUUCUGCGUCGCUCACGCUGGGAGCUGUAGACUGGAGCUGUUCCUAUUCGGCCAUCUUGGCUCCUCUCAGAUGAUAAAAUUCAGGCCAAGAGAAGCAAAGACAGCAAAGACUGACAUAAAAAAGAAACAACAAAAACAACUCUUGUUAAUGAUGUAGAAUUAAUCUGAAUUCUCCAAAAACCUGCCUCUUUUGGAGGUGUACAUAGGAUCAGUAAGCAGUGUGAGCCCAUAUCUAGAAGUAUCCAAGCACCUGCAAAAGUACCUAGCAGUGGAAAGUACCUAGUAUAUCAUGUUACUGGCCAGCUUGGUUAUGUCUCCAAUUUGAGAAGUGACUUGGGACUAGAAAAAAGAGGUGAAAACACAUUGGCCAAAAGUAAACCUAUGAACAAUAAAUUUUAUUUUAUAUUAAAAUGCUUUAUCGAUACAUAAUUUUUGAACAUAGUUUUGAGUACAUGUAAUAUUUGGUUACAUGAAUAAACUGAGUAAUAAUCAAGUCAGGGCAUUUGGGGUGUCCAUUAUCUAAAGUAUUUAUCAUUUCUGUGUGUUGGGAACAUUUUCAGUCUUCUCUUCUGGCUACUUUGAAAGAUACAUUAUAUUGUUGUUAUCCAGAUUCACCUGCUAUUAGACUUUAGCACUUAUUUCUUCUUCUAAUUGUAUGUUUCUACCCACUAACCUCUCUUUUUCAACCCCUCAACCACAUACCCUUCCCACUUCGUAAGAUCAACUUUGCUAGCUCCAACAUGUGAGUGAGAAGAUGUAUUUUUCUUUCUGGGCUUGGAUUUUUUCAACUUAAGAUAAUGACCAUCAGUCCCAUCUACGUUAAUGGAAACGAUAUGAUUUCAUUCUUUUUUAUGGCCAACUUGUAUUCUGUUGUGUAUACGUACAAUGUUUUCUUUACCCAUUCAUCCAUUGAUAGAAACUUAGGUUGAUUCUCUGUCUUUAAUAUUGUAAAUAAUUCUUCAAUAAACAUGCAAGUGGAAGCAUCCCUUUUAUAUACUGAUUUCCUUUACUUUGGGUAAAUACCCAAUAAUAAUAUUGCUUUUAAUAUAUAGUAAUAGUAAUAUUACCUUUAAUUUUUUGAGAAAUCUCCAUACUAUUUCCUAUAGUGGCUAUACUUCUUGAAAUUGCCACCAACAGUAUAUAAGAGUUCCUUCUUUUCUGCAUUCUUGUGAGCAUCUGUUAUUUUUUAUCAUUUUACUAAUAGCCAUUCUAACUCAGGUAAGAAAAUUUCUCAAUAUGGCCUUGAUUUGUAUUGCCCUAAUUAUUAGUGAUGGCAAGCAUUUUUAAAAAAUAUACCCCUUGGCCCUUUGUAUGCCUUCUUUUGAAAAAAUGUCUAUUCAUAUUCUUUUUCCACUUUUAGUGGAAUUAUUUGCCUGUUUUUAUUGUUGGAUUAUUUCAGUUCCAUGUAUAUUCUGGAUAUUAUUCUAGAAUAUGAAGAAAAUAAGGAUUUAAGAAAGUAAAUUUAUUUUCAUUAUUUGUAUAUUUUGUACAUGUUGAAAAACUCUUGAAACUUAAACUUAACUUCCACUAUAAAUCUCAUGAUCUUAAUACCAAUACACUCUACUGAUCUUUCUUUUUUCUUUUUUGCCUUUUUUUAUUCUGAUACCCUACACGAAAACUCUGAUACAAAUGUAAUGAUCUCAGUGUGUCAUGCUUUGUUGCCUCCCAUUACUAUACUUAUAGUCAUGUCAAGUUUUUCUCUCUCCUUUUUUUCCUUUCCCAACACCAAUGUCCUACCUUCUAUUCCAGGUAUGUAAAAAUCCUUUCUGCAAUUCAAGGCCCAAAUCAAUACCACUCUCCUAUAAAGAUUUUUCACUGUUUAAAUGAUUUCUAUACAUUUAUAAGAAUGAUUGUAUUUUAUUUAGGCUGUUGAUUUAUUUUUAUCACUUUUUUUUUUAUAUUUUUAGGAGGUAUGUUUUUAUUCAUCUCUCUCCACAUUGGACCAUAAGUUGCUAAGAGCAAGAACUGUUGGUAAUUCCUUGCCUUGUAUAUGUCAGUAAUGAAUGAAUA
rnacentral:lncRNA from 1 species